GGCGUCCACAAGCGACACCCGAACCCAAACCCGGGUUCCCAAAAUUUCUCUUGGAAUUAACAAUCACUGGAUAGGGUCGAAGCACACCUUGUAGCAGAAACCACACCAAAUGCACAAUCAGAAGGUCCCUUGCCAAUAUUGUCGCCUUCAAUGAUUUCUAAAGCAUUACAGACAUCUCUAAAAUUGUAUCUACGCUUCAUGAGUCCAUUGGCAUUACAAGAACACAGUGUACUCGCUAAAAUUGGUGGCAAAGCGAAAUCACCAACACUCCCUUGAGCAAAGUUCUUAACUGUCCCAGA
rnacentral:lncRNA from 1 species